UCUUCAUUUUACGUGCUCUCUCACCGGUCAGAGAGACGAGAGAGGGUGAGAAAUGAAGAGA
rnacentral:pre_miRNA from 1 species